GCCGGGAAGAGGAAGAAUUAGAGGGUCCAAGAGUAAUAUGAAUGGGAACAUCGAGGAAAGCGUGAGCUUUCUAGAUUUCCUCUUCUUACAAUGGAGAGAUCUUGCUCUGUGUUUUUCCGAUGCCUCCCAUUCCUAUUGUUCUUGGGUGCUCCUUCCCCUUCCUUUUGGCU
rfam:Triticum urartu cultivar G1812 contig498780, whole genome shotgun sequence.